ensembl:lncRNA
CUAUUCGCAGGUCCUUGUGUUACAACAUCGGCCCCCUGCGUCACUGCCGCCACCACAAACACACAGGUUGUGUACUUGGACAGAGGGGCUGAACCAGCCUGUUUUUAACCAGCCUGUGGCUCCACGUGCCUCACCGAUUAUACAAACGUCUACUGUUGUAUACACACAAUACCACAUGUAAGACGUUGGCUGAUGCAACCACCAAUGCCCUCCGGUGUAGGAGAGGGGUGUGUGUGUCUGUGUGAGUGAGUGAGAGAUCACCUGAUUCCUGAUCCCAGACAACUCAACUGCUCACGUAACUCUCUCGUGCUACGCCCACCAACGUAGCAGGAGAGAGAGAAUUGCAGCCCUGCCAGCAAUGCAUCGCGCAACAAGUCCAAAUAGACUGGAUGACAUCGGCGGUCACAGUGGAAACUGCUCCAACAUUCUCCUUUUGCUGUACCCUUGUGAUGCCAAACAAGGCUGGUGUGGAAUACCGCCAAUCAGGUUGGCAUCUGGGAUCAAAGCCCGGGAGUCACAUGCUCUGUGUGUUUCCAAGAAGAGACACACAGGUGAUCAGGGACGGAUUCGGACUCACGUCAGACCCUUGUUGCGGCCUUAUGACGCAGAUUGUUUGGGGCGGAUAAUGUUCUGUGCUGGAGAGUGGUCGGGUGUAUUUGUUUGCUGAUACAGCUGGAGAGCAACAAUAAAUGGUUGGUGAUGAGGGUGACAUCAGCCUCGGGUCUUUGAGGCCAUACUCGUUCAGCGGGUCGUUCAGGUUCACGUGUGGGCCAGGAGCCGGGCGAGAACAUAUGAAGAGGAGGAGGAGGAGAAGGAGGGGGAGGAAGCGGAAGAGAAGGAGCUAUAGGAUGAGGAGGAGGAGGAGGAAUACGCUUGCAGGUGGAGACAGCUGAGGAAGAGGAAAAGGAGGAAGGGUAGGAGCAGAUGGAGAAGGAAGAGGAAGAGAAGUAUGUCUGUAUCAACAGUAUGUAGUGUCCAGAUGUAAACCCCACAUUUGGCAUACGUCAAUGUGUAUGCUCAUUUCACACAGACACACACACACACACACACACACACACACACACACACACACACACACACACACACACACACACACACACACACACACACACACACACACACACACACACACACACACACAAACACAGGUAUCGAAUUGCAUUCCAACCACUAGAGCACACACCCUAUUUCUCACGCUUACACGCCCCAUGACAUGAAACGGAUGAUACUAAAGCAAAUAUAACAAAGUGUUGGAUCCUUCAUUCCAGGAAUCCUAUGGACCAAAGCGAGUCACAGCAGCGUGUGGUACUUGGGUUACCUGAGCAAUGCAGUGGAUUUUCCAGCUCUUAGCCCCAUUAUCCGACGAACGGUUCGCAGUGCCACACCACAAAUGUAUUACCUACUGAUUACACACGUUAUAUAUCUACUGAACACGUCCCUUUGGAUAAAAACAACCAGCCCUUAAUCAAUACUAAAAGAGUCAGUGACACACAAUAUAGGAAGCCUUUGUUCUCAUUGGUUACCUCUAAAUAUCACCUUCCUAUACAUAUAAAUGGAGCCCGGAAUAACAUGUUUGAGUUGGAGAUUAUGGCGCAGACACCAGCCAAUCGGAGGAGCGCUGCAAUCAGGUUGCUCUCGAAUUUGGCGCCCUGGUCGGGAUGUAUCCUCGCCGGGAAACCAUAAACACAGAACACAUGAAGGCAUGAACGAGUUUGGUGUAGCAGUCGGUGACCACCAAAACAUCAACAGACCGCUGCUUGCUGUCUUCGGCAGUCCAGAAAUCCAUGCACACUGACUCCAUUGGAGCUGAGCUCUUGAUGCUUUCCAGAGGAGCACGAGCAGCUGGUUCCGGUGACUUCCCAAACACACAUCUCUGACAGCAUUUUACAUGUGCCCUCACAUCCUUUUCCAUAUCAGGCCAAUAGAAACGCUGUCUUGCAAGCGAAAGAGUGCGCUCCUGGCCCUGAUGACCUGCCAGAUCAUGGAUGCCGGACAAUGCUUUGUCCUUAAGACUCUGAGGCAACACAUAUUGGGAUUGUCGCUGCUGGAAACAGGAUCUCUUGAGACCCGAUACAGAACUCCAUCAUAGACUUCCAGCCUGUUCCAUUGCUUCAACAAUCUGAGGACCUUUGAAUCAGCACCAUGCCUUUCUCGCCAAGACAGUCGUCUCCUGGUAGAAACAAAGGGCAACACCUUGGAGAUGACUGGAUCUUGCUCUUGAGCCAGCUGUAGCUCCUGGGCAGAGAACAUGGGCAGCGCAUCCUGACCACUUGAAAGUUGUUGGACUUUUUGUCUUAAGUAGAGUGCCCUGGAAUCUGCUGUGUCUUUCCAGUCAAAGUGGGCCUGACAAAGAGCUCUGAUCUCGACUGUGUCAUACCCCGUCCUGGGUAGUGGAUGGUUUUCCAGUCUGAGGGUUUGAGACUGGCAGCUGAGCCUGAAAACAUCCUGCACAGAAUCCUCUUCCACCCAAUCGGCUUCCUGAGUCAGAGUGGAAUAAGGCUCCUUAAGCAGCCUCCGGCCAAUGGUUUUCACAAAGGGAUCGCGACUCAAGGCAUAUGUCACCACAUUUUUCUUCCCAGGCAGGUGCUUGAGAUCAAAGGUGUACGACGCCAGCUUAGACACCCAGCGGAUCUCACAUGCGUCCAGCUUCGGCUUCGUUAGAAGGUAAGUAAGCAGAUUAUUAUCAGUCCAAAUGGUCAUGCUAUGACCCUUCAGCCAGUGGCUGAACUUUUCACACACACACCGCUUCAGGGCCAUGAACUCCAGCCUGUGAGCUGGUUAUUUCCGCUGUGAUGCACUGAGGGUCUUUCUUGCGAAAUCAAUUGGUCUGGCCUUGGAUUCUCCUCUGGGCACUUGGGAGAGCACCGCACCAAGUCCAUCCAAAGACGCAUCUUUUGACAAGAUAAAUGGUUCAUCGAAGUCUGGAUGAGCCAGCAUGACGCAGUCCAACAGCCUGGCCUUCAUGUGCUCAAAAGCGCUUCCGAGCUUACGGUAGGCAGAUUGGGGCUUUCUAUCCUUAGCUGACUUCCCUCGCCUCUUCUGACCAGCUGUAAGUGCAAACAAGGGCUUUGCAGUGGAAUACAGGUUGGGGAUAAAGGGUUGAUAGUAAAACACCAUACCGAGGAAUGAGUCUCCGAACAGAAUGCAUGCACGGUUGUAUUCAUGCAGCCCGAGAGGAGUCGCGAAAGCUGUGUACUUCUUGUCUUCUUCAUGCAUUGGAAUGUUGAAGAAACCAGAGGUGAGGUCCAUCGUGCUAAAGAAGCAGUUGCCACCAAGGGCAGCGAGACAGUCUGACUGGUGAGGCAGGGGAUGUGCGUCCUUUAUGGUUCUGACAUUCAACCAUCUACAGUCAUUGCAAACCCGCAACCCACCAUCCUUUUCCCACACCAUCACCAAAAGAGACACAUAUUCGCUUGUGGACUUCCUGAUGAUUCCCUUUUCCUCCAUAUCAGUGAGAGCCUGUCUCAACUUCUGAUAGUGGGCUGGAGGAACUCUCCUGUAUGGUAGGCGAAACGGGCGAUCGUCAGUGAGACGGAUGCGGAGUGUGUAACCCUUGACCUCACCGCAGUCAAGCGAGUGCUUGGAGAAGAUGUCCUGAUAGUCAGUUAUCAGUUGCUUGAGCUGGGACCUACAAGCUUCGCUAACCUGACACAUCGACGUCGCUUAGACUCAACUCUGACAGACUUUUGCCGGCCUGGGAUGAAAGACUAGCACUGAAAGAAGCAUCAUGCUGUCGUUUCUCGGUGUCGGGUUGCUCUUUCUCCGAAGCUGCUUGUGAGCCCUGGAAAACAUCAAGAUCCUCGACUGCUAAGCACGGGAACACAUCAGCCAACUUGCAAUUCCUCUUCAGCGUGAUCGCUUUGUCAGAUGGGUUCACAACUGUCAUUGGCACCAAUCUAUCACCCCAGAGAGGUGUGACAAGACAACCCACUAGGACACCUCGUGGCAUGGCUUUUGAGUUGGUCUGCUCCACAACAACAGUGCUGCCAGGUGACAUAGGCGACUUGGCAGGGAGUCUGCCCCAAAAGUGUUCAUGCCUGGGUAGGAGGGUCACAGCCUGGGUGAGCUUGAAGGUUCCUAUCUUUUCAGGGACUGCGCUCCCCUUCCAGCGCUCGACAUUUGUGAACAUGGACAAGAAGUGAUCGAUCUCGGGGUCAGAUUGAUGGUCAUGAAAAGAUGCAAGAUCCCAGUACUCGCCACCACCCUUCAGGACAUGAGUGACAUAUUUGAUGAUAUUCAAGCCCAAUAUAAGGUCAUCUUGUUGGCCAGACACAACCAAAGUGGAUACAAUACAUGGAAUGCCAUACAGCUGCAUCUCCAAAUCAUAAAAGCCCUCAGGCUGGGUUCGCAAACCACCACAGCCAAUCAAGACAAUGUUCUCUUCGGGGUACUGCUUCUCUGGCAAAACCUCAGCACAUCUGAGCUUCUCUACUGCUUCUUCACUGAUGCUACAUACCAUAGAGCCAGAGUCCCACAUGCCUUUAAGCUGCACACUGUGGUUGAUGAGGACUGGAGCAUAGAACAGCUCUCCCAAAUCUUUGAUUCUCUGGGUAGCUAUUUUUGUACCUUUAGGUGCUUUGGCACAGCUCUCUUCAUAUAACUGAGUUAGGUCACAGGUUUCAGAAGGGAUUCCAUUCACGUUACCCAAACCGGCCCCCUCCAGGUGUGGGUUUAGCAGUUUAACUGCUGAGGCUGGCCACCAGCGCUAUCAUCAGGCUGAGAGCGGCGCUGGUUAGGCUGCUGGUUGUGGUUACCAGCACAGCCAUUGUGCUGAA